GCUAAGCAACUGAACUGAACUGAAACUAAAAUUAGAAUGCCACAUGAAAACAAGCAUGACCUCAGCACAAGGAUGACAUGCAAAUCUGUGAUGCGUUCGGUAUUUUA
ensembl:snRNA U6 U6 spliceosomal RNA